rnacentral:lncRNA from 1 species
GUGUCCCGUGCUCCUCUCCGAGACCCCGGUCGCCCCAGCGUCCGCAGCAGUCCUGGAAAAAUGUUUAUUUGUGUAGCAAAGCAGGGAGCGGGGCGGCGGGGCUACUUCUUCUUUUUCUUGGCCGCCUUGAGCUUCCCCUCGAUUAGCCGCUGCGCCUGCCUCUUGAUCUCGGCGCGCGAAGGGACGUAGCUGUGGUCCAUGUCGGGGAACUGGAAGGUGUCUGCGGGCGGAGGCGGCGGCUCGCACACGGGGCUAGCCCAGCUAGGCGCAGCCGCCCGACCCGCCUCUCGCCCCCGCCCUCCACCGACCCGGGCCAGGUGCCUUGCCCCAGGGACAGCCCCAGCGUGCCGGGAGGACUCAGCCCAGCCCAUUCGCAGCGGCUCACGCUGCCCUGCCUAGCCUUUCCCGCAGAACCCCCAGUGGAAGCUCCGGCCCAGGCCUUCACCGCGCUCCUCCCUGCUCCAGCCCUGGUGCCUCUCCUCCGGGCCCGUCUGGCAUGGCAUGCCUCCUCCUUUCGGAGAAAUUAACAAGGUAUUUCAGUGGCUUUAGCCUCCCCAUGGCAUCACUAAGUCACCUCCAUCAAUUAAAGUCCUGCAGGUACAACUGAUGCACCCUGUAGCCCCGCUGUCCCUCCAGGAUGUCCCGGUGGGAUGGGAGCCGGCGCCACCCCGACCUGUGUUCCAGCCACCCGCCUGCAGCCCGGGCCCCAGUUCCGGGGCCUGUACCGAUCAUAUCCUCCUCCCGGUUCUCAAAGCUGAUCCUGGUGUUGUACUUCUCCAUCAGAGUCGAGGACUCCAGGGUGUCC